UGGGGAAUAUUGCACAAUGGGCGCAAGCCUGAUGCAGCCAUGCCGCGUGUAUGAAGAAGGCCUUCGGAUUGUAAAGUACUUUCAGCGGGGAGGAAGGCGAUAAGGUUAAUAACCUUGUCGAUUGACGUUACCCGCAGAAGAAGCACCGGCUAACUCCGUGCCAGCAGCCGCGGUAAUACGGAGGGUGCAAGCGUUAAUCGGAAUUACUGGGCGUAAAGCGCACGCAGGCGGUCUGUCAAGUCGGAUGUGAAAUCCCCGGGCUCAACCUGGGAACUGCAUUCGAAACUGGCAGGCUAGAGUCUUGUAGAGGGGGGUAGAAUUCCAGGUGUAGCGGUGAAAUGCGUAGAGAUCUGGAGGAAUACCGGUGGCGAAGGCGGCCCCCUGGACAAAGACUGACGCUCAGGUGCGAAAGCGUGGGGAGCAAACA
rnacentral:rRNA from 1 species